rnacentral:rRNA from 1 species
AUUGAACGCUGGCGGCAGGCCUAACACAUGCAAGUCGAACGAGUGGCGGACGGGUGAGUAAUCUCUGGGAAACUGCCUGCUGGAGGGAUAUAACUACUGGAAACGGUAGCUAAUACCGCAUACCAUAAGAUGUGACAACAUGGGAUUAGCUAGUUGGUGGGGUAACGGCUCACCAAGGCGACGAUCCCUAGCUGGUCUGAGAGGAUGACCAGCCACACUGUAACUGAGACACGGUCCAGACUCCUACGGGAGGCAGCAGUGGGGAAUAUUCGACAAUGGGCGAAAGCCUGAUGCAGCCACGCCGCGUGUAUGAAGAAGGCCUUCGGGUUGUAAAGCACUGUCAGCGGGGAGGCGUUACCCGAAGAAGAAGCACCGGCUAACUCCGUGCCAGCAGCCGCGGUAAUUC